rnacentral:rRNA from 1 species
AUUGAACGCUGGCGGCAGGCCUAACACAUGCAAGUCGAGCGGAUGAAGGGAGCUUGCUCCUGGAUUCAGCGGCGGACGGGUGAGUAAUGCCUAGGAAUCUGCCUGGUAGUGGGGGAUAACGUCCGGAAACGGGCGCUAAUACCGCAUACGUCCUGAGGGAGAAAGUGGGGGAUCUUCGGACCUCACGCUAUCAGAUGAGCCUAGGUCGGAUUAGCUAGUUGGUGGGGUAAAGGCCUACCAAGGCGACGAUCCGUAACUGGUCUGAGAGGAUGAUCAGUCACACUGGAACUGAGACACGGUCCAGACUCCUAAGGGAGGCAGCAGGUGGGAAUAUUUGACCAUGGGCGAAAGCCUGAUCCAGCCAUGCCGCGUGUGUGAAGAAGGUCUUCGGAUUGUAAAGCACUUUAAGUUGGGAGGAAGGGCAGUAAGUUAAUACCUUGCUGUUUUGACGUUACCAACAGAAUAAGCACCGGCUAACUUCGUG